rnacentral:rRNA from 1 species
AUUGAACGCUGGCGGCAUGCCUUACACAUGCAAGUCGAACGGUAACAGGUCUUCGGAUGCUGACGAGUGUCGAACGGGUGAGUAAUACAUCGGAACGUGCCUAGUAGUGGGGGAUAACUACUCGAAAGAGUGGCUAAUACCGCAUGAGAUCUACGGAUGAAAGCAGGGGAUCGCAAGACCUUGUGCUACUAGAGCGGCCGAUGGCAGAUUAGGUAGUUGGUGGGAUAAAAGCUUACCAAGCCGACGAUCUGUAGCUGGUCUGAGAGGACGAUCCGCCACACUUGGACUAAGAAACGGCCCAGUCUCCUUCGGGAGGCAGCAGUGGGGAAUUUUGGACAAUGGGCGCAAGCCUGAUCCAGCAAUGCCGCGUGCAGGAUGAAGGCCUUCGGGUUGUAAACUGCUUUUGUACGGAACGAAACGCCCCGGGUUAAUACCCUGGGGUCAUGACGGUACCGUAAGAAUAAGCACCUGCUAACUACGUGCCAGCCGCCGCAGUAA